AACGCACCUUGCGCUCUUUGGUAUUCCGAAGAGCAUGCCUGUUUGAGUGUCAUGAAAAUAUCAACCUUGACUUGGGUUUUGUGCUCGAGUUUAGGCUUGGAUGUGGGUGCUUGCCGCUCUAAUGUGCGGCUCACCUUAAACGUAUUAGCUGGAUCAGUCUUUGAGACUUGGUUUGACUUGGCGUAAUAAGUAUUUCGCUAAGGACAUUCUUCGGAGUGGCCUCGUUUCUGGGACAUCUGUCCGCUUUCCAAUACAAAGUUCCAGAAAUGGACAUGACUUUUUAUUAUCUGGCCUCAAAUCAGGUAGGACUACCCGCUGAACUUAA
rnacentral:misc_RNA from 1 species